GGAGGAAUACCCAAGUUCGGCUGAAGGGAUCGGUCUUGAAAACCGACAGGCGGGUCAAACCGCGCGGGGGUUCGAAUCCCUCUUCCUCCUCCA
rnacentral:tRNA from 5 species